UGUACAAUGACUCUCGGCAACGGAUAUCUCGGCUCUUGCAUCGAUGAAGAACGUAGCGAAAUGCGAUACUUGGUGUGAAUUGCAGAAUCCCGUGAACCAUCGAGUCUUUGAACGCAAGUUGCGCCCGAAGCCAUUAGGUCGAGGGCACGUCUGCCUGGGUGUCACA
rnacentral:rRNA from 2 species